CCUACGGGUGGCAGCAGUGGGGAAUAUUGCACAAUGGGGGAAACCCUGAUGCAGCAACGCCGCGUGAGUGAUGAAGUAUUUCGGUAUGUAAAGCUCUAUCAGCAGGGAAUAGAAAAGAAGGUACCUGAAAUAGAAGCCUCGGCUAACUACGUGCCAGCAGCCGCGGUAAUACGUAGGGGGCAAGCGUUAGCCGGAUUUACUGGGUGUAAAGGGAGCGUAGGCGGAAGGGUAAGUCAGAAGUGAAAGCCCAAGGCUCAACCAUGGGACUGCAUUUGAAACUGGCAAACUAGAGUACGGGAGAGGUAAGAGGAAUUCCGAGUGUAGCGGUGAAAUGCGUAGAUAUUAGGAGGAACACCAGUGGCGAAGGCGUCUUACUGGACCGAAACUGACGUUGAGGCUCGAAAGCGUGGGGAGCAAACAGGAUUAGAUACCCUUGUAGUC
rnacentral:rRNA from 1 species